rnacentral:rRNA from 1 species
AUGCACGCUGGCGGCGUGCCUCAUACCUGCCAGUCGAGCGAACAGAUGAGGAGCUUGCUCCUCUGACGUUAGCGGCGGACGGGUGAGUAACACGUGGAUAACCUACCUAUAAGACUGGGAUAACUUCGGGAAACCGGAGCUAAUACCGGAUAAUAUAUUGAACCGCAUGGUUCAAUAGUGAAAGACGGUUUUGCUGUCACUUAUAGAUGGAUCCGCGCCGCAUUAGCUAGUUGGUAAGGUAACGGCUUACCAAGGCAACGAUGCGUAGCCGACCUGAGAGGGUGAUCGGCCACACUGGAACUGAGACACGGUCCAGACUCCUACGGGAGGCAGCAGUAGGGAAUCUUCCGCAAUGGGCGGAAGCUUGACGGAGCAACGCCGCGUGAGUGAUGAAGGUCUUCGGAUCGUAAAACUCUGUUAUUAGGGAAGAACAAAUGUGUAAGUAACUAUGCACGUCUUGACGGUACCUAAUCAGAAAGCCACGGCUAACUACGUG